rnacentral:rRNA from 1 species
UACGUAGGGUGCGAGCGUUGUCCGGAAUUAUUGGGCGUAAAGGGCUCGUAGGCGGUCUGUCACGUCGGGAGUGAAAACCCAGGGCUCAACCCUGGGCCUGCUUCCGAUACGGGCAGACUAGAGGUAUGCAGGGGAGAACGGAAUUCCUGGUGUAGCGGUGAAAUGCGCAGAUAUCAGGAGGAACACCGGUGGCGAAGGCGGGAUCUCCUGG